rnacentral:rRNA from 1 species
UACGGAGGGGGCUAGCGUUGUUCGGAAUUACUGGGCGUAAAGCGCACGUAGGCGGCUUUGUAAGUUAGAGGUGAAAGCCUGGAGCUCAACUUCAGAAUAGCCUUUAAGACUGCAUCGCUUGAAUCCAGGAGAGGUGAGUGGAAUUCCGAGUGUAGAGGUGAAAUUCGUAGAUAUUCGGAAGAACACCAGUGGCGAAGGCGGCUCACUGGACUGGUAUUGACGCUGAGGUGCGAAAGCGUGGGGAGCAAACAGG